GCCUCCCCGCCGUAGCCGUUCAACGGGCUUAACCUUCUUAGCGCCUCUGCUUCUCUCCGAUCGACCUGUCCCCGGCGAGGCUCGCUCCUCUCAGACUCCCCGGCGAGGCGCAGGUGAACAGCUGACCGGUGAGCCACCUGGCCCCCGAUGCGCGCGCCUCCGCCUCUGCGCCGCGUUUCCGUCGCGGCUAUCGGCAGGGCCCGUUAUCUCUCCUAUAUCAGCGGGGCUCGAUAUCGUCCCCGGCAGCGGUUUCCCGCCUCGCCGAGAGUCGGUCGACUCCACCUUCCUCUAACGGCGACGAGCAACGCUAUUCCCCGCACCCUCGUUCCAAGGGGAGCCGGUUAGAGCCAGGGUCUUCCCCGAUACCCUCGCAAACCAUCCCGACAACUCUGCACCGAGGGGCAUGAAAGAAAGGCAUGCACGUCCACCAUUAGUGCGCCAGCGAAGCGAGGUCUUCGGCGAAGACCAAACUUCGCCUUCGGGAGGGGCCUUUGUUACGACUGGUCGCCGCUAGCCGUUGGUUUCUUACGUACAUCACGUUAACCAUGUAGUUACACCGUGGAAAAUCAGUAAACUACGUUUCCCAAUGUGAAGGAUGCCGCAGACGCACGAUAUAUGUAUACGCUAGGUUUAUAAACGUCUUUUAGCGCA